rnacentral:rRNA from 1 species
GACGAACGCUGGCGGCGUGCUUAACACAUGCAAGUCGAACGGAAAGGCCCUUCGGGGUACUCGAGUGGCGAACGGGUGAGUAACACGUGGGUGAUCUGCCCUGCACUUUGGGAUAAGCCUGGGAAACUGGGUCUAAUGCCGAAUAUGAUCAUCGGCUUCAUGGUCGGUGGUGGAAAGCUUUUGCGGUGUGGGAUGGGCCCGCGGCCUAUCAGCUUGUUGGUGGGGUAAUGGCCUACCAAGGCGACGACGGGUAGCCGGCCUGAGAGGGUGACCGGCCACACUGGGACUGAGAUACGGCCCAGACUCCUACGGGAGGCAGCAGUGGGGAAUAUUGCACAAUGGGCGCAAGCCUGAUGCAGCGACGCCGCGUGAGGGAUGACGGCCUUCGGGUUGUAAACCUCUUUCAACACAGACGAAGCGCAAGUGACGGUAUGUGCAGAAGAAGGACCGGCCAACUACGUG